UUCCUCCAACUCCACCGAUCGUUGAGCUUCACAUUUUCCCACACCUCCAUCUCCAAAAACUUUGAAGGCAACUUUGGGAGCGAAAAAAGCUAUUGCAAGAGCCAAUAUUUCAUUAUUUCAGCUGAAGAACAGUUGCAGAUUCUGGACGAAAUUGGAAUCGAAGCCAAGCGAGCGUAAGACGCAAUCGAGGUACAGACGCACCCGGUGAUACGCCGCCAGUCGAGGGCAUAAAUUCUGCUAUUUUGGAGAGCUCCUUUGAUCCGGAGCGUGUACUUUUGGUAUAUACCUUCUGACAUCUGUAUAUUCUGUAUGUAUGAAAAUUCUGGGUACGGCGGGGCCCUGUCCCGUCAUCUGAUGUUGUAUGUCUGUUAGAGGCCUGUAGAUA